UGUCGGCCUGGGGGCGGGCCCGCGCUCCGCGCCUGCGUAGCGAGCGCCGCCUGCCCCGGCGGGCUUUCCCCUGCUCUCCGCCCCACUUCUCGGCUGGCUCCCGGCGGGCCCCGCGCGGGGUGGGAGCACGAGACCCGGCGGGCGGGCCUGGAGGAGGGAUGGGAAUCGGCCGGGGCGGAGCGCGCGUGCGCGGGAGGGGCGGGGCGCACGUGUGAGGGAGUGGGCGGGGCGCCAAAGCUCCGCCCGCCGCGCGUGCCGCCCUUUUCAGGACCUGGGUGCGGGUGAACCUGUGGAUCGUGUUUCCCGGUCUCAGUUUCCCUUCUACAGCAGCGUGCCAGACGCUUUCCCCCAUCCUGGGCCGGAAGGCUGGGAUGCGCCCCACUGUCACCUUCCCCAGGGGCAAAGGCUGGGGGUCCCUUCCCCGGAGAGUGACCGGGGGGGGGCCGGGGUCCCUGCCCGUGGGGUGAAGGUGUGGGGCCGGGAGGUUUCUUCCCCGGGGUAGAAGGCAGGGGGCCGGGCCGGGGUCUUUGCUCGCGGAGUGAAGACGGAGGGUGGGGGGUGGUCUCUUCCCCGGGGGCGAAUGCGGGGGACCAGGGUCACAGCCCAGGAGGUGAAGGUGGGCGCCGUGCUCCGCGCGUGGGGCGCAGUAGUAACUGCGGGUAACGAGCGCUUCCGGCGCGUCAGCCGCUAAAUAUAAGGUGCUGAGCGCAUCUUCUCUUUUAAUCCGCCCCUCCCCCCAAACCUGCGGUGGCGUUCCGCGUCCCUUAAAAUAAAUCCCAGCCGGCCACCAGGGCUUCCGAGACCCGCCUGACCUGGCCUGCUUGCCGCUUUGCCCGGCUCCGGCUCGGAGGCCUCGCUGUGGAGAAACGGGCCGCCCCCUCCUGUUCGCCAGACCCCCUUCUUGCCUGCACAGCCCUUUGCUCGAUUGGUGAUUAUGUCUGCGCUUGCUUUCUGCCUGUCUCUCCCUCUUGACCUCAGAUCAGCGACUAGUAUUAGGUCCUGAAAAAAACUUGGUGAGUGGUGACCAGCAUUUUAUAAAAAUGAAACAAUGAGAGAGGGCAUCUCACAGUGAGUGCUCUUGCUCUGUGAAGCAUUUAUUUCACUUACACGUAUUUAAGUGGGUACUUGAUCAAGAUGCAAAGUGUAUUUCUUACAAUAAGUGCCAGACGAAAAAUGAAAGCCGCUGCAGAGAACACCUUACGGCAACCUGCACAUAGGCUCUGACUCCCCAUUUUACAGAGGAAACUGAGACCCAGCACAGGACAGCUGCCCCGCCUGCCCUUUGUGAAUCCCCCCAUUCCACCAGCACCCGGCAACAGUAAGAGAACAGUAUUGGGUUGGAGAAAAGGGAGCACAGAAGGCGCAGACGAGAAGAUGGAAAAGUCUUCUAAAUAUAUCUGCCGAGAUUUACCAGUGCAUCUCUGCUCCUGGAGAAUCGCGUUGGUGAGGAGAGGGUGGACAGCGCGGCCCCAGGGUUAGCCCAGCUCCAGUCAGAGAGGUCUCCAGGCAUCGGGGCAUCCUGCCCUUGGACAGGAGACAGGACUCUCCCUCAGCACAACGCAGUCUUCCCCAGGGUGCACCUGUGUGGCGUUGGUGCCACCCCAGGUCUCCUGACCACCUCAGCGACCAUCUGGCCUUGUGGUCCCCCUGUACAGCAGAGUUCUUCCCCACCACCACCACCACUUCCCAGGUCCAGAACACGACUUGCCUAAGGUCACAGGUUCUGUGCCUCGGAACUCUCGCCACAAUCUUCUGUGUGUGCUGGAGGUGGGGACGCGCUCCUCACCAACUGGAGCCGAUUCUACCUUGGAAGGGGGAGCUGGGUCCUGAGCUCCAGGAUCAGGGCAGGGGGCAGUUCCUGGAGACCUCUGAGAGCCCACUGGGCCCCCGGGUGUACAGCUGGGUGGUUCCCUGAGGACAUCAGUCACUGCAAAUGCCCGGGCAGGGCAGAGGCUAAAAAUAUACGUGGCGCACAGGUCCAGGAAGGCUGGCCCUGCCACUCAUUCCUUGGUGUCCUGCCCAAAGUGGAGGGCACUUGUGAAAGGUCUGAGAGGGGGAGCAGUUGUGUGGAGCCUCAGCUUGGCCCGGGAGUCCAUUGGUGUGGUCUGUUCUCCGUGCGAGGGCACACCCCUCCCUGAACAGCACCUCCACCCUAAACAGCUGUCCACAGUGCCCACCCGCUCGGUCAUCACCAAGCCUUAAACUCCUGAGCCUGGGGAUGUAGAGAGGGGAGCUGAGAAGCCGAAAAACCCUGGGCAGGUUGGACUCCCUGCCUCAGUUUCUCCUUUUGCCAGAUUGAGAAGACAGCUGUCCUGCCCAUCUCACUGCUGGAUGUGAGGACCCCAGAAGAUAAUGCCUGUGAUGGGCUUUUGAGAGGCGCUAGGGGCCCGUGCAUGGGAGACGGUGGUCCCUGCAGAGGACCACAGAAGCGGCUGGCCGGCUUUCCACUGUACCCAUGAGCCACGUACCAAGCCCUGUGUGUUCGGAGGACAGCGUCCCUUAUUAAGGACGGGUAUGAAGAUAAGGACCCAGGACCCGGCCUGGGGUUCCAUCGCAGCCCGUGUCCUGUAGCAGGUGAGGGGCACGUGGCCACAGAAGGCCACUUUGUGACUGAUGUGAACCUGAGAAAGAAUGAUGGGCCCAGCCACUGAUUUCACAGGUAUUGCUUAGUAGGAGCAAAACAAAACAGCAGACGCUCACUGGAGCGUUCUCACAGCAGAGCUGGAGACCCCCACGACCCGUGACCUCUAGCAGGAGACUGGGUCAGCCUGGGCACCGCACGUGAGCAGACCGUGGCCGCACAGACAGGGCCACGAGGGAAAGACACACAGAGAACAAAUGCCCUGCACAGAGUCACAGGCCCCCGCAACGUACACAGGCUGUUAGAGGUGAGGAUGGCGGCCCCCCGGGGCCUAAGGGUGAGGAGACCAGCCUGGGCUAGAUGCUCAGCCAGGGUCACACGGCCACUGAGUGGCCAACCUGGGAUUCCGAUCUGAGUCUCAGGCUGCUGACCCGGACACCCUGCCUCGUGGUGCUCCCUGCUCAGCCGCGGGGGAGAUACCAGAUGCGGCUUCUUCCUUCAAGGAACGCACGCUGUACAGGUGCCCCAGCUGCAGACUGUCCUGAGGCUGCAGCUGGGCGCUGUGGGGCGCGUUCCUUCACCUUGUCCUCUCUUGACCCCAUGCAAAGGAUGCAGGAUGCGUCCCAGGGAGUUGCCCCAGUAACCCAAAGGCCUACCCAGGGAGCAUCCUAGGAUGUGAACUCCAAGUCAGCUCCAAGGCUGGGUGCUUGUCUUUGCACCUGCCUGAUGGUGCACGAGCGCCGGCCUGGCAGAACCGCAGCCCCCAGGAAUGGAGUCGUGUAAAUAAAGGAGUGGGGGACUUUCCUGGUGGUCCAGUGGUUAAGACUCCACAUUCCCAACGCAGGGGGCCCAGGUUCGAUCCCUGGUCAGGGAACUAGAUCCCGCAUGUCACAACUAAAAGUCCGCAUGCUGCAACUAAAAGAUCCUGCACGUGGCAACGAAGAUCCGCAUAUUAAAUAUUUAAAAUUAAAUAUUUAAUAUUUUAAAUAUUAAAAUUAAAAAAAUAAAAUAAAGAAGUGGUAGAGACAAUCCAGCCCUCCCAAAGCCUGUGGUCCCCUGGCAGUGCUCGGGAGCCAACGUGAGGACCCCUCGUCUGCGAACUGACAUUCUCACCUGGCGAGAGGCUGGAGUGUGGCUGGAAAGCAUCCUGCCGGGCACAUGGGUGUUUUUGCAAGUGUGAAGGUCCACCCUGUGAACACCAUACACCUUCCCUUCUGUGGCUGCCUUAACCCCCUGAACGCAAAGGCUCGGUGGCCAAGCCUGGGCACCGAGGCAGACGCUUGUCGUGAUGCGGACGCCCUCGGACGGGCGGGGGCGUGUGUGGCAGAAGGGGCAGCAUGCGGGCCGGGCUGAGAAGCGGGCUCUCCUCCAGGAAGAUGCCUCAGUCCAGAGCUGCUUCCAGAUUUUCCAGGAGGUUUCAGCAGCUGGAUGGGGCGGACGGCACCAAAAACACAUUGCCAUGGCUCGUGUUGCUCAUACAAGCGAUCGCAGACCUCCGGAAGUACAUAUUUGUCUUUCCCAAGCAGCAAACAUGAGAACCACCUUUGCCUUGGGAGUCUCCCUGGGUUCGGGGACGUGUUUUCACGAAUGGCGUUUACCACGCUCCCUGGAAUCUCGGGGCCAGCAGUGCCGAGUCUGAUCUCUCUCCGCGCUGGGCUGGACUGAACUCACGCUUAUUCGUUCAUUUAUUUGUUUACUUAGCAACAUUAUUGAGGUAUUAUUUACAUACCAUAACAUUCACCCAUUUAAGGUGUUCAGCUCAGUGGUGUUUAGGGUAGUCACAGAAUUGUGCAGCCAUCACCACUGUGUAAUUCCAGAACAUUCCAAUCACAACUCCCGAAACCCUAGAGCCACUAGCGGUCACUCCCCACCGCCCUGUCCCCCAAGGCCCAGGUAACCACGAUGGAUUUGCCUGUUCUGGACAUUUCCCAUUCAUGGAAUCAUACACUACGUGGUCUUUUGUGACUGGCUCCUUUCACUAUGCAUACGUUUAUGAAUGUUUUCAAGGCUCAUCCAGGUUGCAGCAUGUAUGAGUACUUUGUUUCUUUCUGUAGCUGAAUAACAUUCUGUUGUAUGCUGGUGUUUACGUGUUCAUCGGUUGAUGGACAUUUGGUUUGUUUCCACCUUUCAGCUACUAUGAAUAAUGCUGCUGUAAACAUUGUGUACAAGGCUUUGUGUGGAUGUAUGUUUUCAUUUCCCCCGGUAUAUACCUCGGAGUAGAAUUGCCUGCUCAUAUGGUGAGUCUAUGUUUAACAUUGUGAGAAACCACCAGACGGUCUUCCAAAGUGGCUUCACGUCUUUAUAUUCCCACAGCAACGUGUGAGGGGAGCCUGGUCUUCGUCUGAUGCUGUCUGGGGACAGGGUGUCCACGUCUCAGCAGGGCUGUUCCUUCAUUUGGGGAUGAAAGGCACCUCCCUGCUCAGAGGAGCGCCUUGGCACCAGGCGUCCACGUGCUCUGUCAGCAGUCACCCAAGGGGCCGACUUCCGUACUCAGAUGAGCAGGGCAGAUAGAGGUUUCUUUUACCACAGGCCUUGGGAGAGGACUGGCGGCCUGCUCCUGGGAAAGCCGCACUGGGGUUGCCGCACAAGCAGCCAGCCUUUUAUCCCAGUCAGUCAUGUAGCACAGGGGUCCCCGACCCCCAGGCCGCACAGCAGGAGGUGAGCGGCGGGCGAGUGAGUGAGGCUUCAUCUGCCGCCCCCCAUCACUCCCCAUCGCUCGCAUUACCGCCUGAGCCAUCCCCCCCUCCCCUGCCGUCCGUGGAAAAAUUGUCUUCCGUGAAACCGGUCCCUGGUGCCAAAAAGGUUGGGGACCGCUGAUGUAGCACAGGAGACGCAGGCCUUCAGCCUGGAGUCCCCAGACCUUACAGCUCCAGGUCUUCAGGCCUGCGGUUACCAUCCCUGCCCUGAUACAAGCAGACCUCAGAGAUGUUGUGGGUUCCGUUCCAGACCACCGCAAUAAAGCGGAUAUCACAAUAAAAGAAAAAUAAGGCCCAUGCAGCAAACACCUUGAAGGAGUGCUCAGAGAAAAAACAAGAACAGCAAGUGAAAUUCACAGUUGAGUGUGUGCUGGGCAUCGUGCUGAGCAGUUUACACGCACACGUCUGAUGUUUGAAGCAGCGCUCUGGGUGGGGCUCUAUAAUCAUCCCAUUUUACAGACAGGAGGACGAGGAUGAGGGCAGAAAUACAACUGAGGGGCUUCCCUGGUGGCGCAGUGGUUGAGAAUCUGCCUGCCAAUGCAGGGGACACGGGUUCGAGCCCUGGUCUGGGAAGAUCCCACAUGCCGCGGAGCAACUAGGCCCGUGAGCCACAAUUACUGAGCCUGCGCGUCUGCAGUCUGUGCUCCGCAACAGGAAAGCCUGCGAUAGUGAGAGGCCUGCGCACCGCGAUGAAGAGUGGUCCCCACUUGCCACAACUAGAGAAAGCCCUCGCACAGAAAUGAAGACCCAAC